GAUCAUGGCUCAGGAUGAACGCUAGCUACAGGCUUAACACAUGCAAGUCGAGGGGCAGCAGGACGAUAGCUUGCUAUGUUGCUGGCGACCGGCGCACGGGUGAGUAACGCGUAUCCAACCUUCCCCUUAGUAGGGCAUAGCCCGGUGAAAAUCGGAUUAAUACCCUAUGUUGUGUCAUGAGGACAUCUGAAUAACACUAAAGAUUUAUCGCUAAGGGAUGGGGAUGCGUCCGAUUAGGUAGUCGGCGGGGUAACGGCCCACCGAGCCCUCGAUCGGUAGGGUUCUGAGAGGAAGGUCCCCCACACUGGUACUGAGACACGGACCAGACUCCUACGGGAGGCAGCAGUGAGGAAUAUUGGUCAAUGGGCGCGAGCCUGAACCAGCCAAGUAAGCGUGCAGGAUGACGGCCCUAUGGGUUGUAAACUGCUUUUAUACGGGGAUAAAGUGAGGGACGUGUCCCUUAUUGUAGGUACCGUAUGAAUAAGGACCGGCUAAUUCCGUGCCAGCCGCAGC
rnacentral:rRNA from 1 species